rnacentral:rRNA from 1 species
GACGAACGCUGGCGGCGUGCCUAACACAUGCAAGUCGAGCGGGGUUGAAGCGAGGGGUAACUCGGACUUCUACCUAGCGGCGGACGGGUGAGUAACGCGUGGGCAACCUGCCUCAAGGUUUGGGAUAACAGCUCGAAAGGGCUGCUAAUACCGGAUAUGCCUGUGGCCUCGCAUGGGGCUAUGAGCAAAGGGGAAACCCGCCUUGAGAUGGGCCCGCGUCCCAUCAGCUAGUUGGUGAGGUGAAGGCUCACCAAGGCGACGACGGGUAGCCGGCCUGAGAGGGUGACCGGCCACACUGGGACUGAGACACGGCCCAGACUCCUACGGGGGGCAGCAGUGGGGGAUCUUGCACAAUGGGCGAAAGCCUGAUGCAGCGACGCCGCGUGAGCGAAGAAGGCCUUCGGUUGUAAAGCUCUGUCUGGAGGGACGAAGGAAGUGACGGUACCUCCGGAGGAAGCCACGGCUAACUACGUGCCAGGAGCCGCGGUAAACUGUAGUCGU